rnacentral:rRNA from 1 species
UCCGUAGGCGGGCAAUUAAGUCAGAGGUGAAAUCCGACAGCUCAACUGUGGAACUGCCUUUGAUACUGGUUGUCUUGAGUUACAGUGAAGUAGAUAGAAUAUGUAGUGUAGCGGUGAAAUGCAUAGAUAUUACAUAGAAUACCGAUUGCGAAGGCAGUCUACUAACUGUAUACUGACGCUAAUGGACGAAAGCGUGGGGAGCGAACAGGAUUAGAUACCCUGGUAGUCC